rnacentral:rRNA from 1 species
UGCUGGGGGAUUAGUGGCGAACGGGUGAGUAACACGUGAGUAACCUGCCCUUGACUCUGGGAUAAGCCUGGGAAACUGGGUCUAAUACCGGAUACGACCAUCUGGCGCAUGUCAUGGUGGUGGAAAGCUUUUGUGGUUUUGGAUGGACUCGCGGCCUAUCAGCUUGUUGGUGGGGUAAUGGCCUACCAAGGCGACGACGGGUAGCCGGCCUGAGAGGGUGACCGGCCACACUGGGACUGAGACACGGCCCAGACUCCUACGGGAGGCAGCAGUGGGGAAUAUUGCACAAUGGGCGCAAGCCUGAUGCAGCGACGCCGCGUGAGGGAUGACGGCCUUCGGGUUGUAAACCUCUUUCAGUAGGGAAGAAGCGAAAGUGACGGUACCUGCAGAAGAAGCGCCGGCUAACUACGUGCCAGCAGCCGCGGUAAUACGUAGGGCGCAAGCGUUAUCCGGAAUUAUUGGGCGUAAAGAGCUCGUAGGCGGUUUGUCGCGUCUGCUGUGAAAGACCGGGGCUCAACUCCGGUUCUGCAGUGGGUACGGGCAGACUAGAGUGCAGUAGGGGAGACUGGAAUUCCUGGUGUAGCGGUGAAAUGCGCAGAUAUCAGGAGGAACACCGAUGGCGAAGGCAGGUCUCUGGGCUGUAACUGACGCUGAGGAGCGAAAGCAUGGGGAGCGAACAGGAUUAGAUACCCUGGUAGUCCAUGCCGUAAACGUUGGGCACUAGGUGUGGGGGACAUUCCACGUUUUCCGCGCCGUAGCUAACGCAUUAAGUGCCCCGCCUGGGGAGUACGGCCGCAAGGCUAAAACUCAAAGGAAUUGACGGGGGCCCGCACAAGCGGCGGAGCAUGCGGAUUAAUUCGAUGCAACGCGAAGAACCUUACCAAGGCUUGACAUGAACCGGAAAGACCUGGAAACAGGUGCCCCGCUUGCGGUCGGUUUACAGGUGGUG